rnacentral:rRNA from 1 species
AUACGGAGGAUGCGAGCGUUAUCCGGAUUUAUUGGGUUUAAAGGGAGCGUAGGUGGGAUAUUAAGUCAGCUGUGAAAGUUUGGGGCUCAACCUUAAAAUUGCAGUUGAUACUGGUUUCCUUGAGUACGGUAUAGGUGGGCGGAAUUCGUGGUGUAGCGGUGAAAUGCUUAGAUAUCACGAAGAACUCCGAUCGCGAAGGCAGGUCCACGGGCCGGGAAUGGCACCGGUGCUCGGAAGUGCGGGUAUCAAACAAGAUUAGAUUCCCUGGUAGUCCGCACAGGAAACGAAGAAUUCUCGGUGGUUGCGAAACACGGUAAGCGGCCCAGCGAAAGCGUUAAGUAUUCCCCCUGGGGAGUACGCCGGCAACGGUGAAACUCAAAGGAAUUGACGGGG